UGACCACUAGCAGUGUUUUAUUAUGAUUAUUCUGUUUCAUACUUUUAUUUCAUGUGACUUUUAUUUUGACAUCAUGCUAUCGGUAGAAGGGGUUAGUAUCUUCACUCACACUCUUACGCUCGCGCUCUACCUUGUUCAAUAGAGAGCACGUGAAGUCAUGUUACAAGACGAUGCAUGUUUAGAGCCAGAGCUCGUAUAAAUAUUGCUGUAACUUUCAACUAAAGAUGUUUUUUGAAGUGUUAUAUCUCAGUGCUUGAUUCGUUUGGCAGAAGUAAUUUAAGAAUAAUUUGUGAAGUUUCUAGCUAGCUCUCCAAUGUUUAAGUUAAGUUAAUGGCUAGCUCUCCAAUGUCUAAUUUAAGUUAAUGGCGGCAACUUUCCCUGGAUUACCACUUUUAGCACCCUUUGAUAUGCGGAGCGAGGUAUGUGGUUCAUGUGUUAUUUUUAUGUUAAUUAAUUUCAUGAUGUUGUUAUGUUCAUGUGAUGAUAACGAUACCCAUUUCAUAUAAUGGCUGUUACCUGCUAUGCUGUAAUUAAUGUGAUGCAUUUGUAAAGGGAUUAUUUUAUAUCUGGCUAAAUUGCCUUUGUUAUUUCCCUUUUUAAGUUUUCACGGUGUUGGUGCUAUGCACACUCGUCUCAAUUAAAGUACACCCGUCUGGAAACACUCCCAAGCCUGUUUAUUCCAAGUUGAAGGGCUGCUACAGUGAAAACUCGUCGCUCGAUGUGGAGUGAAACGAAACUCAACUCAACUCGACGUUAGAAGGACUGCCAUCUGCUAUUCUGUGUACAAGACUGCCACCUGCUGUUCAAACACCCUCAUUUCAACCGGCACUCAGGCAAGAUCGGUCUAUUGCGGUUAUGCUGAUUGUUGCAUAAAGUCACGGGACUCUUUGAUUGCAAACACUGAACUUAAGUCACCUUUAUAAACAAUAUACUGUACAUGUUUGAUGCUCUAAAUCAAUCAUACAUCUGAAAGGUGAAUUUAAAGACACAGAAGGGUGAUAUAUAUAUAUUGAACAAAUUGAACCUGUUAAUGUAAAUUCAUUCACGGGUAAAUCUGUAUUAUAGCAUUCAUUGCUAAGCUGUUUGUGUGUUAUUCUACAUUUUAUUGAUGAUAAUUGCCCUCAGUGCAUGUUUGGUAUUAAGUGUAUGUUGAGUUAUUUAGCUAUAUUUCAGUAAUUAAACUAUAGUUUAGUAGUUCAAUAUAACCAAACAGCAACACAACUUCAAAAAUGUCACUUAAUGGAGAAGAAGUAGCUGGCACACAUAACCCACUCACAAAAACAGAUAACCCACAGCCAGUCAGGUCUAGUUCCCGUGAAAGAACAUUUACAGAAAAGGGAUACGAGAUGCACAAACAGGAAGCAAUUAAACACAAGAAAGAAUUCAUGAGAGCUUAUGGCUACUGGAAAGAGGUGGCAGGAAAGGUUAGGACCGCACUAAAAUCAUUCUGUUCUCAAGAUGAACUAAAUAAAUUCAGAGAAGAAAUCCAAAGUCGACACAGUGCAGUAAGUGAAUGUUAUGAGCCCAUUCAACGCAACCACAAUGCUACCCCAGACAUUGUCCCAAAAAUGGAUGCUUGUAUAGCACUCACUGCAGAGAUCAGCGAAAUAAUAAGGCAACGGCUAGAAACUGUAGAUGAGGCUUUCAAUCCAGAACUUGAGAAACUACGAGUGAGGAUGGCACUUAAGAAGGAUGAGUAUGGAUCUAUCUUCGGACACACAAAGACAGAUACUGUACUUUCUCUAUCAGAAAAUUCCCUCCACUCACAGGGCUCAAGCAAACAUGUAGAUGCAGGAGCAGAACUCGCAGCUCAACAAGAAAGGAUUAAAGCAGUAUAUCAAAUACAAGCUCAAGAAGAAGUUCUUAGCAAGUUAGAAGAAGAGAAGCAGCUAGUUCUUAAAAGGUUAGAAGAAGAAAGGCAAGUAGCUCUUAAAAGGAUAGAGGCAAAUAUGCGUCAGGAAAAGAAAAGACUACAGCAAAUUCAAGCAGAGUCAGAAGUAAGAAUAGCGGAGGCGAGAGUAAACGCAUACGAGAGCCUUGAACAUGACUCCAAAGACUGGCUAAAAGAGACUGAUCUCACAGUUGAAUUCAAAAGCCAACUCAAUCCAAGGGCCAACGCAUACCAGCCUCCACAAGCAUGCGCCAAUGCGCUAGCAUCUCCUGAGAAAGACAGCCUUACCCAAGCUCUCAUUAACUCACUCAGUAUUAAUCGCCUGCCUGCCCCUGAGCCACCAAAGUUCUCUGGCGAAGCCCUAAAGUAUGUAGACUGGAAGAUGUCCUUCAUGGCCCUCAUAGACCACCAGCCUCUCCCAGCUCAUGAAAAAAUGUUCUACUUAAAAACCUAUCUGAGCGGAGAAGCACGUAAAGCUGUAGAGGGAUUCUUCUAUAGAAACACUGAAGAAGCAUAUCAGGGAGCCUUAAAGGUCCUAGAAGAAAGGUACGGAAACCACUUCAUUGUGCAAAGGGCUUUUAGAGACAAGCUCAUGAAAUGGCCCAAGAUUGGUACCAGUGAUCCCGCUGCACUUCGAGAGUUUGCUGACUUCCUGCAAGGAUGCGUUGAAGCGAUGCCUCAUGUGAAGGGAUUGGCCAUCUUAGACGACUGUGAAGAGAACCACAAGUUGCUGAAGAAAUUACCUGACUGGAUCACACGCAGAUGGAGCAGAGUCGUCACGGAAAGGUUGGACGAAUCCGGGGAUUACCCAAGCUUUUCCUGUUUCACAAGGUUCAUCCAGAAGGAGGCUCGGAUAGCCUGUAACCCUGUCGCCUCUCCACUUCUGAUCAAGAACACAGAUGACAGGCAGUCCAAAAGAGCUAGAGCACUUCACACAAACACUAAAAGAAACAAUCCCACAGAAAGGGUUGAGAAAGUGUUCAAUACCAAGUCAAGACCACCUUGUCCUAUCUGCCAAGAUGAGAUGCACGGCGUCGUGAAGUGCCCUACCUUUGCAGCAAAGUCUCUAGAAGACAAGAAAGCCAGCAUACGGGAAAACAAUUUGUGCUACGGAUGUUUGAGAAAGGGACAUAACAGUAAGGAUUGCAAAACACGACACACUUGUGUCACCUGCGGCAGACGUCACCCCACCUGUCUACACGAAGAGAGAGAGAACCGAUCUGUGGAAUCAAAAGAGAGACAGUCCACUUCCACAGACAAAGUCACUAGUCAGGAGGAGAUCAAAGUGACGUCCCAUGCAGUGACGCAGCGCAUCUUCGCCACCUCAAGCAUCGUCCCUGUUUUCAUGUCAUCUGCAAAUGAACCAGAGAAAGAAGUUGUAACGUAUGCUCUUCUAGACACGCAGAGUGACUCGACAUUUGUCUUGGAAGACUUACUCGAAAAUCUGAACGUGGAGACUAAACCAGUACAGCUCAAACUAAGCACCAUGACAUCUGUUGACACACCCAUAGCCAGCAAAAGUGUCUACGGUCUACGAGUACGAGGACUACAGUCUGAAAAACAGAUUCAGCUACGCCAAGCCUACACUCGUGGCUUCAUCCCGGUUGACAAGUCCUACAUUCCAACUUCCAAAACAGCGCUGCUCUGGCCUCACUUAAAGCAUCUAGCAAACAAACUUCCGCUGCUGCAGGACUGUGAGGUGGGACUGUUAAUUGGAAGUGAUUGCCCGUUGGCGUUAGCCCCCCAGGAAGUCAUCACAGGAGGCGAAAAUGAUCCAUUCGCCCAGAGAACGGAACUUGGCUGGAGUAUAGUAGGCUCAUCCAAUCCACAUCUGGAUCGCCAGGGAAACCAGAGAUUCGUCCAUCGAGUGACAGUGAAGGAAAUACCUGCGCCAUCAACCAACGACGUGCUAAAGGUCUUGGAAUUAGACUUCAAUGAAAGGAAGUAUGCAGACAAAGACAAGUAUGUGUCUCAAGACGACGUUCGCUUCAUUCAGCUUCUGAGUGACAACAUAGUUCAAAGGAAAGAUGGACACUAUGAAAUGCCCCUUCCCUUCAAGAGCACAGAGCCUCCUCUGCUACCAGACAACAAGAAGCUGGCAACAGUUCGACUGCAGCACUUGAAGAAAAGAUUGAAAAAUAACGAGCGGUAUAAAGAACAGUACAAGUCCUUCAUGGAGGAUAUGAUAAAGAAAGGUGAUGCAGAGCCAGCCUCUCCUGCGAUAGGACAGCAAACUACAUGGUACAUACCACACCAUGGGGUGUUCCACCCCAAGAAGCCAGAGAAGCUAAGGGUCGUCUUUGACUGUUCAGCGAAGUUCCGUGGCGUCUCACUAAAUGAUACGUUGCUAACAGGUCCUGAUCUGAUCAACUCUCUCCUUGGAGUGCUUUGUCGUUUUAGGAAAGAGGCUGUAGCCAUCAUAUGUGACAUCGAGAAAAUGUUCCACCAGUUUUACGUUUCUCCUGAACUGCGAAACUACUUACGGUUUCUCUGGUGGGAAGAUGGAGACCUCGAAGCAGAGCCUCAAGAGUAUCAAAUGGCUGUCCACCUAUUCGGCGCCACUUCGUCACCCGGAUGUGCCAACUUUGGUCUGAAGUACUUGGCACGUCAACACAAGGAAGAGUAUCCUUUAGCAUCAGCCUUUGUUGAAAGGAACUUCUACGUCGAUGAUGGGCUUAUCAGCGUCCCCUCCGUAGAAGAAGCAAAGGAGUUGAUUGCUGAAGCACGAGAGUUGUGCGAGAGAGGAGGUUUGCAUCUACACAAGUUCAACUCAAAUGAAAGAGCAGUUCUGGACUCUGUGGACCCAACUGAGAGAGCAGUCACAUCUGAACCCCUCAAUCUGGACCUAAAUGCAGCUCCAACAGAACGUGCUCUUGGUAUUCAGUGGUCCCUUGAACAAGACACCUUCAGCUUUAAUGUAAAUCCUCAGAUUAGGCCCUCCACACGUCGCGGCAUCCUAUCCAUCAUUGCCUCCUUGUACGAUCCAGUCGGAUUCGUGGCUCCAUUUAUCUUAACUGGAAAGUGCAUCCUCCAGGAGUUGUGCCGUCGAGGCAUUGGCUGGGAUGAACCACUUCCCGAAGACUUAAGUCCACGGUGGGAGAGAUGGAAGAGUGACCUACAACUGCUGAAGGAAGUCUCAAUACCGAGAUGUUACCAACCACAAGGCUUCUGUAAAAUUGUCACAAGGGAACUCCACCACUUCUCGGAUGCCAGCAAUAUAGGAUAUGGCUCGUGUUCCUAUCUGAGAAGCAAGAAUGAAGAUGGUGAAGUUUACUGCAGCCUUGUGAUGGCAAAGGCUAGAGUUGCGCCAACAAAACUCACAAGCAUUCCAAGAUUGGAACUUUCAGCAGCAGUAGUUGCUGCAAGAUCAAGUGUCAUGCUGAGAAACGAGCUUGAAAUGCCGAUCCAAGCAGAAUUUUUCUGGACUGACUCCCAAGUUGUCCUGGCUUAUAUCAAUAAUGAAGCAAGAAGGUUUCAUGUCUUCGUUGCCAAUCGUGUGCAAAUGAUCAGGGAACACACCAGCCCCAGCCAGUGGCACUACAUAGACACAACAGAAAACCCUGCUGACCAUGCGUCGAGAGGUCUAAAUGCAGCAGACAUCUCCUCAUCAAACUGGCUAUCAGGUCCCAAGUUCCUGUGGGAACAAGAAAUACAUCCAGAGUCUUACCUAACUCCUGAGUUGCUCCUUGGUGAUCCUGAGGUCAGGUCAAUGCAGGUGUUCACAACUAAAGUUGAACCUUCAAAGUCAGACCUUCUUACCCGUCUAGAUCGAUUCUCCUCCUGGUCAAAACUCUUGAAAGUCAUUGCAAGAAUCAAGAGGCUGAAUUCAAAGCAAACUCAUCUUGGCAAACUUGUGAGUGUGGAAGAACGCGAGAGAGCUGCCGAAUCAGUAGUGAAGCUUGCACAAGAAGCAGCAUUCUCCCAAGAGAUGAAGAUACUUCAAAAGGGAAAAGGUCUUCAAAACUCCAGCCCUCUGUUUCGCUUGGAUCCCAUCUUAGAAAGAGGAGCACUUCGUGUCGGUGGGAGACUGGAUCAGUCAUCCUUAAGCCCAGAGGUCAGACACCCUUUGAUUUUACCCAAAGGAGGACAUAUUACCAAGUUGAUCUUGACCCACUGUCACGAGAGGAUCUGUCACCAAGGACGGAAUCAAACUCUAACAGAACUUCGAGCCAAUGGGUUUUGGGUCAUCGGGGGAAGUAAGUCGGUUGCUAAGCUAAUACACAGAUGUGUGAAGUGCAGAAGACUCAGACGGCCUGCAGAAGAGCAACGCAUGGCAGAGUUGCCUAAGGAGCGUGUAGAAGUCUCUGCCCCCUUCACAUACUGCGGUAUCGACUGCUUCGGCCCAUUCAUCACCAAGAAAGCCCGUAAAGAGCAAAAGCGCUACGGCUUAAUCUUCACUUGCCUAGCUUCUCGAUCUGUUCACAUUGAGAUGCUUGAGGACUUAUCCACAGAUGCAUUUAUCAAUGCUUUAAGAUGCUUCAUCAGUCUCAGAGGAGCCGUUCGGCAACUCCAUUGCGAUCAAGGAACAAAUUUUGUAGGAGCUAAAAAUGAGUUCAAAGAAGCAUUGAAGCAAUGUGACACCAGAACGAUCGAGAGCUUCCUCGCAGAAAGGCAAUGUGAGUUUAUAUUCAAUGCUCCCUCAGCAAGUCAUGCUGGCGGCGUCUGGGAGCGCCAGAUUCGGACUGUCCGUAAUGUCUUAAAUGCCACACUCUGUCAAUACUUAGGCAGACUUGACGACUCUUCCCUUCGAACCCUGUUCUAUGAGGCAAUGGCCAUUGUGAACAGCCGUCCGUUAACUGUAAACGGAGUAAAUGAUCCUACCUCGCUCGAGCCAUUAACUCCGAAUCAUCUCUUACUAAUGAAGUCCAGAACUGCCCUUCCACCGCCUGGAAAAUUUGAAAAGGAGGAUGUCUAUGCAACUAAAAGGUGGCGAAGAGUCCAGUACUUCGUUGAACAGUUCUGGUGCCGGUGGAAGAGAGAGUAUCUCAUGAACAUUUCCACUCGCCAAAAGUGGCAUACGACUCGACGCAACCUUAAGGUAGAUGACUUAGUCAUAAUAAAGGAAGACACCCCUAGAAAUCAGUGGCGUUUGGGAAGAGUGGUUGAAACCACAAAGGAGAGUGAUGGACUAGUGCGUCGCGUCAAGGUGUUAGUAGGAGAAAGAUCAUCAGCAAAACAAGAUCGCCCUACCAAACCUUUGAUUAUAGAAAGGCCCAUUCAGAAACUAGUUCUCCUCCUUGAGAGUGAGUGAUCAGUCUAGUUGUCUACACCUUUAACCCCCUUAUGACAUAGUCUACUCUCUUUAGUCAUUAAGUAAUACUCACCUGCACAUAUCUAGAAACACUGAUACAGACAUAGGACUCAAGUAUGAGCCGUUCAGCCAGGUUGAUCCUUGUCUUCACUUUUCAUAAUGUGAGUGGUGGGAGUGUAAAUGACCACUAGCAGUGUUUUAUUAUGAUUAUUCUGUUUCAUACUUUUAUUUCAUGUGACUUUUAUUUUGACAUCAUGCUAUCGGUAGAAGGGGUUAGUAUCUUCACUCACACUCUUACGCUCGCGCUCUACCUUGUUCAAUAGAGAGCACGUGAAGUCAUGUUACAAGACGAUGCAUGUUUAGAGCCAGAGCUCGUAUAAAUAUUGCUGUAACUUUCAACUAAAGAUGUUUUUUGAAGUGUUAUAUCUCAGUGCUUGAUUCGUUUGGCAGAAGUAAUUUAAGAAUAAUUUGUGAAGUUUCUAGCUAGCUCUCCAAUGUUUAAGUUAAGUUAAUGGCUAGCUCUCCAAUGUCUAAUUUAAGUUAAUGGCGGCAACUUUCCCUGGAUUACCACUUUUAGCACCCUUUGAUAUGCGGAGCGAGUUUUCACGGUGUUGGUGCUAUGCACACUCGUCUCAAUUAAAGUACACCCGUCUGGAAACACUCCCAAGCCUGUUUAUUCCAAGUUGAAGGGCUGCUACAGU